rnacentral:rRNA from 1 species
AUUGAACGCUGGCGGAAUGCUUUACACAUGCAAGUCGAACGGCAGCACGGACUUCGGUCUGGUGGCGAGUGGCGAACGGGUGAGUAAUGUAUCGGAACGUGCCCAGUCGUGGGGGAUAACGUAGUGAAAAUUACGCUAAUACCGCAUACGAUCUAUGGAUGAAAGCGGGGGAUCGCAAGACCUCGCGCGAUUGGAGCGGCCGAGAGAAGAUUAGGUAGUUGGUGGGGUAAAGGCCCACCAAGCCAACGAUCUGUAGCUGGUCUGAGAGGACGACCAGCCACACUGGAACUGAGACACGGUCCAGACUCCUACGGGAGGCAGCAGUGGGGAAUUUUGGACAAUGGGCGAAAGCCUGAUCCAGCCAUUCCGCGUGCAGGAUGAAGGCCCUCGGGUUGUAAACUGCUUUUGUACAGAACGAAAAGGUUUCUACUAAUACUAGGAGCUCAUGACGGUACUGUAAGAAUAAGCACCGGCUAACUACGUGCCAGCAGCCGCAGUAA